rnacentral:rRNA from 1 species
UGGCUCAGGAUGAACGCUAGCGGGAGGCCUAACACAUGCAAGCCGAGCGGUAUAGUUCCUUCGGGACUAGAGAGCGGCGUACGGGUGCGUAACACGUGUGCAACCUACCUUUAUCUGGGGGAUAGCCUUUCGAAAGGAAGAUUAAUACCCCAUAAUAUAUUUGAUGGCAUCAUUAGAUAUUGAAAACUCCGGUGGAUAGAGAUGGGCACGCGCAAGAUUAGAUAGUUGGUGAGGUAACGGCUCACCAAGUCUGUGAUCUUUAGGGGGCCUGAGAGGGUGAUCCCCCACACUGGUACUGAGACACGGACCAGACUCCUACGGGAGGCAGCAGUGAGGAAUAUUGGACAAUGGGUGAAAGCCUGAUCCAGCCAUCCCGCGUGAAGGACGACGGCCCUACGGGUUGUAAACUUCUUUUAUAUAGGAAUAAACCCAGAUACGUGUAUUUGGCUGAAGGUACUAUAUGAAUAAGCACCGGCUAACUCCGUGCCAGCAGCCGCGGUAAU